rnacentral:rRNA from 1 species
UACGUAGGGGGCGAGCGUUGUCCGGAGUUACUGGGCGUAAAGCGCACGCAGGCGGUCUGCUAAGUUUGGAGUGACAGUUGGUGGCUUAACUGCCAAAUUGCUUCGAAAACUGACAGACUUGAGGGCUUCAGAGGGACACGGAAUUCCGGGUGGAGUGGUGAAAUGCGUAGAGAUCCGGAGGAACACCAAAGGCGAAGGCAGUGUCCUGGGGAGUACCUGACGCUCAGGUGCGAAAGCCAGGGGAGGCGAACGGG